GGAGCUGUGGCUCAGUGGUAGAGCAUUUGCCUAGCAUGCAUGAGGCACUGGGUUCAAUUCUCAGUACCA
rnacentral:tRNA from 1 species